rnacentral:rRNA from 1 species
AUUGAACGCUGGCGGCAGGCUUAACACAUGCAAGUCGAGCGGGGUGAUGGUGCUUGCACUAUCACUUAGCGGCGGACGGGUGAGUAAUGCUUAGGAAUCUGCCUAUUAGUGGGGGACAACAUCUCGAAAGGGAUGCUAAUACCGCAUACGUCCUACGGGAGAAAGCAGGGGAUCACUUGUGACCUUGCGCUAAUAGAUGAGCCCAAGUCGGAUUAGCUAGUUGGUGGGGUAAAGGCCUACCAAGGCGACGAUCUGUAGCGGGUCUGAGAGGAUGAUCCGCAACACUGGGACUGAGACAGGGCCCAGACUCCUACGGGAGGCAGCAGUGGGGAAUAUUGGACAAGGGGGGGAACCCUGAUCCAGCCAUGCCGCGUGUGUGAAGAAGGCCUUAUGGUUGUAAAGCACUUUAAGCGAGGAGGAGGCUCUUUUGGUUAAUACCCAAGAUGAGUGGACGUUACUCGCAGAAUAAGCACCGGCUAACUCUGUGCCAGCAGCCGCCGUAA